rnacentral:rRNA from 1 species
AACGAACGCUGGCGGCAUGCCUAGCACAUGCAAGUCGAACGAGAUCUUCGGGUCUAGUGGCGCACGGGUGCGUAACGCGUGGGAAUCUGCCCUUUGGUUCGGAAUAACAGUUGGAAACGACUGCUAAUACCGGAUGAUGACGAAAGUCCAAAGAUUUAUCGCCAGAGGAUGAGCCCGCGUAGGAUUAGCUAGUUGGUGUGGUAAAGGCGCACCAAGGCGACGAUCCUUAGCUGGUCUGAGAGGAUGAUCAGCCACACUGGGACUGAGACACGGCCCAGACUCCUACGGGAGGCAGCAGUGGGGAAUAUUGGACAAUGGGCGAAAGCUUGAUCCAGCAAUGCCGCGUGAGUGAUGAAGGCCUUAGGGUUGUAAAGCUCUUUUACCCGGGAUGAUAAUGACAGUACCGGGAGAAUAAGCCCCGGCUAACUCCGUGCCAGCCGCCGCGGUAA